rnacentral:rRNA from 1 species
GAUGAACGCUGGCGGCGUGCCUAAUACAUGCAAGUCGAGCGAAUGGAUUAAGAGCUUGCUCUUAUGAAGUUAGCGGCGGACGGGUGAGUAGCACGUGGGUAACCUGCCCAUAAGACUGGGAUAACUCCGGGAAACCGGGGCUAAUACCGGAUAAUAUUUUGAACUGCAUGGUUCAAAAUUGAAAGGCGGCUUCGGCUGUCACUUAUGGAUGGACCCGCGUCGCAUUAGCUAGUUGGUGAGGUAACGGCUCACCAAGGCAACGAUGCGUAGCCGACCUGAGAGGGUGAUCGGCCACACUGGGACUGAGACACGGCCCAGACUCCUACGGGAGGCAGCAGUAGGGAAUCUUCCGCAAUGGACGAAAGUCUGACGGAGCAACGCCGCGUGAGUAAUUAAGGCUUUCGGGUCGUAAAACUCUGUUGUUAGGGAAGAACAAGUGCUAGUUGAAUAAGCUGGCACCUUGACGGUACCUAACCAGAAAGCCACGGCUAACUACGUGCCAGCCGCCGCCGUAA